GUGCCAGCAGCCGCGGUAAUACGAAGGGGGCUAGCGUUGCUCGGAAUCACUGGGCGUAAAGGGUGCGUAGGCGGGUUUUUAAGUCAGAGGUGAAAUCCUGGAGCUCAACUCCAGAACUGCCUUUGAUACUGAAAGUCUUGAGUAUGGGAGAGGUGAGUGGAACUGCGAGUGUAGAGGUGAAAUUCGUAGAUAUUCGCAAGAACACCAGUGGCGAAGGCGGCUCACUGGCCCAUAACUGACGCUGAGGCACGAAAGCGUGGGGAGCAAACAGGAUUAGAUACCCUGGUAGUCC
rnacentral:rRNA from 1 species